UUCAUCCAGAGUAACGGAGGGACUGGCCCUAUGAAGUUACGGCAACCAUCAGCGGCUUUGGCCGGCUGAACGGUGCUAAGUCCAUCAGGCGUGGCCUGAAAGAUGAA
rnacentral:ncRNA from 1 species